rnacentral:rRNA from 1 species
CCCCGAGAUGAGUUCUCCCUGAGACUUUAAGUCUCCUGAAGGAACGUUAAAGACGAUGACGUUGAUAGGCCGGGUGUGUAAGCGCAGCGAUGCGUUGAGCUAACCGGUACUAAUGAACCGUGAGGCUUAACCUUAC